GUGUCUAUAUAUAUAUAUAUAUAUAUAUAUAUAUAUAGUUGAGCUGGAAUGCUAUCAAUAGCAAACGGCCUCCGUUGCCACCCUUUUAUUUUUGAUGAUGGAGCUUUCAAAUCGACGAUCGGCACCGUUAAAAAUGAUCUAUAUCACUUGAAAUAUCUAGAAAUCAAAUUUCAAAUCUUUUCGACAUCAUUUACCUAAUGAUCUUUUUAAGGAUUUCAAAAUUAGUAAUUUUAAUGGUUGAUAUGAGGGGUUUUUUUGUUUAACGGUUUAAAUCUAUUCAAAUCAAUUGAAUUUUGGUUAGAAAAUUUUUCAAACUAUUUAGAACAAGAUCUAUACUCUUGAUCAUGAUUACAAAAUCUCUAUCAUCACUUUUUAGAGAAUAUUCAUUUUCAGCCAUUCAUUUUUACACCCACUUGAUGGAUAAGAAAAUAAUAUCGGAAAAGUAUGAAAUUUGAUUUCUAGAUAUUUUAAGUAGUAUAGAUCAUUUUCAACGAUGCCGAUCGUCGAUUUUGAGGCUCUAUCAUCGAAAACAAAUGGGUUGCAACGGAGCCUGUUUGCUACCGAUAGUAUUCCAGCACAACUCUCUCUCUAUAUAUAUAUAUAUAUAUUAUAUUUU
rnacentral:lncRNA from 1 species